GCUGUUCCAUUGAUCGGAUCAACUGGAACCCUCGACGUCGUAAGCAACGGAAUGCCAACAACAGUUAAUCACUCACACACAGUAUUGAAAAGCCAGUACGCUCUCUUCGAACACAUACUUCAAAUACGUAAAACACACGCUGUCAAAAAAACUACACACAUAACCCGUAUAAAAGUAUUACCACCCAUGUAAUACUUGCAUACACAACUUCUCCCUACACACAUUCUUCGCGCUUUUAUACUUAGUCCAUGCGCUACUGUUCUUUACACGCGUAUCCAAUAUACAAAACUUACAACAACCUCUGUUGCUUUGAUGAAACCAGUUGAUGAAAUCCUUCUAUUUUUCUUCCAACACUUCCACCAUUCUGCCACGUGAAAACACAAUUUUCUUGUCUCCCAUAUAUUCUUACUUUCACUUUCGCUUUUAAAACCCUUCAAAGAGACACUGUAUGCAACGUCACCUUCAAUUUCAUUUCUUUCGUACAACGUAAAGCUAAAUGCCAUUUAUCCUGCACCCUUCGUCGUCGUCUUUUUCUCCUUACACAAUCAAAAUUUCAUUUUUUUUUUUAUUUUUGCGAACUUCGAAAAAUUUAGAAAAAUUUUGCUUUCAUGAAAAUAAUACGAUACUAUUUGUAGCAAAUCUCUCUCAUUGCCAUUUCUCUCACAUUCUUUCUUUCUUUCUUUCUUUCUUUGUCUUUUUCUCCCCCUUUCUCAGAUCUCAGAUGAGGGAAAAAAUCUAUUUUCGAGGAAUCGUUUACGUCUUUGAAAGGAAAAGUGCCUGAAAACUAGAAAAUUGGUAUGUGAGGCCCAUAAAUAAAAUACCAAUGAGACAGGCCGAAAUAUUCGAAGAAUUUGACAAAAAAAAGGAAAAAAAAAAAACAGAAACUGUGAAAUAAUAUUCCAUACAUCCACAGAAUCUAGCCCCACCCAAACAAAGUUGAAGAUAAAUCCUCGUACAAAAAUGUCUGCUGCCAGCGCUAUUUUCCAAGGACGUUUGUGACGAGUGACGUAAAUUUAGGUCAGCUGCGAAUCGAAACCGAAUCUCAAUCUCGAACAAGAAGUAGUUUAU
rnacentral:lncRNA from 1 species